AACGCGAAGAACCUUACCUGCCCUUGACAUAGGACGAAUCCGACUGAGAGGUUGGAGUGCCGAAAGGAACGUUCAUACAGGUGCUGCAUGGCUGUCGUCAGCUCGUGUCGUGAGAUGUUGGGUUAAGUCCCGUAACGAGCGCAACCCUUGUUCUUAGUUACCAGCACGUAAAGGUGGGGACUCUAAGGAGACUGCCGGUGACAAACCGGAGGAAGGCGGGGACGACGUCAAGUCAUCAUGGCCCUUACGGGCAGGGCUACACACGUGCUACAAUGGCCGGUACAGAGGGGAGCGAAGCAGUGAUGUGGAGCGAAUCUUAAAAAGCCGGUCGUAGUCCGGAUUGAAGUCUGCAACUCGACUUCAUGAAGUCGGAAUCGCUAGUAAUCGCGAAUCAGCAUGUCGCGGUGAAUACGUUCCCGGGCCUUGUACACACCGAGUAUA
rnacentral:rRNA from 1 species